UACGUAGGGUGCAAGCGUUGUCCGGAAUUAUUGGGCGUAAAGAGCUCGUAGGCGGUUUGUCGCGUCUGCUGUGAAAACUCGGGGCUUAACCCCGGGCCUGCAGUGGGUACGGGCAGACUAGAGUGCGGUAGGGGAGACUGGAAUUCCUGGUGUAGCGGUGAAAUGCGCAGAUAUCAGGAGGAACACCGGUGGCGAAGGCGGGUCUCUGGGCCGUAACUGACGCUGAGGAGCGAAGCGUGGGGAGCGAACAGG
rnacentral:rRNA from 1 species